GCCGCGUCGCGGAGAUUUCUGGGAGUGCUCGCUCGGCCUCAGAGUGCGCAGGCGCAGCGCACCGAGUGGACAUUUUGGUCUUUGUCCGCGGGUCAGUCCGGCCCCUGGGUCCACGUGGCGCGAAAAUAGGAGGACCUCUUCCUCGUGAAGUCCUGGGAACCGCAGCCUCCUCAUCCUUCAGAAGGCCCGGCGGCCCUGGGCUCAGCCCGAGUUCUAGGACAGGACUCUGGCUCCAGCAUUAACCUUCUAGUGCUGUGUCGUUUUCCCAGUAGCAGGUUAUAAACUGCCCAAGCUGUGUGUGAUCCUUUGUUGAAGCAAGAAGACGAACUCUGGAUGGUGGAGGAAGAGGUAGAACAGAAAUUUGUGCAGGUGAUACACAGAGAAGCCCUACAAAUGUAAGAAAUGUGGAAAUACCUUCAGCCAAAAGUAAAUUCUCAUUCAUCAGAAAAUUCAUACUGGAGAGGAACCUUGUGAAUGUGGGAAAGCUUCCAUUCAGAUGUCACACCUCAGUCAGCAGAGAAUUUGUAGUGGGGCAAACCCCUUUGCCUGUAAGGUAUGUGGGAAAGCCUUCAGCCACAAAUCAAAUCUCACUGAGCAUGAGCAUUUUCAUAAUAGAGAGAAACCUUUUGAAUGUAAUGAAUGUGGAAAAGCCUUCAGCCAAAAGCAGUAUGUCAUUAAACAUCAGAACACCCAUACUGGAGAGAAGCUUUUUGAAUGUAACGAAUGUGGAAAAUCCUUCAGCCAAAAGGAAAACCUUCUUACCCAUCAGAAAAUUCACACUGGAGAGAAACCUUUUGAGUGUAAGGAUUGUGGGAAAGCUUUCAUUCAGAAGUCAAACCUCAUCAGACACCAGAGGACUCACACGGGAGAGAAGCCCUUUGUAUGUAAGGAGUGUGGGAAAACCUUCAGUGGCAAAUCAAACCUUACCGAGCAUGAGAAGAUUCAUAUUGGAGAGAAACCCUUUAAGUGUAGUGAAUGUGGAACAGCUUUCGGUCAGAAGAAGUACCUCAUAAAACAUCAAAAUAUUCACACUGGAGAGAAACCAUAUGAAUGUAAUGAAUGUGGAAAGGCCUUCUCUCAGCGAACAUCACUUAUUGUACAUGUGAGAAUUCAUUCAGGUGACAAGCCUUAUGAAUGCAAUGUAUGUGGAAAAGCCUUCUCUCAAAGCUCAUCUCUUACAGUGCAUGUGAGAAGCCAUACAGGUGAGAAGCCCUAUGGUUGUAAUGAAUGUGGGAAAGCUUUCUCUCAGUUCUCAACCCUUGCUCUACAUUUGAGAAUUCACACAGGUAAGAAGCCUUAUCAAUGUAGUGAAUGUGGGAAAGCUUUCAGCCAGAAGUCACACCACAUUAGACACCAGAAAAUUCAUACUCAUUAAAAACCUUUGGAUAUCAUGAAAAUUGAUAAGUGUUCAUGAGCAAUUUACACCUCCUAACACAGGAGAAAUAAUCAUUUUGAAGGAAAACAUCACAAAUGAGGGAAACAAAAGCUAAAAACUUAAAAGGACACCAGAGAACUCAGCCUGAAGAGAGACACUUGUAUGAUAAAAAUCCUGUAUCCAACAAAAUACCUACAGCAAAAGUGAUGCUGAAACUUUAGGUACAUUUCCACUAAAACUGGAAAUGGAAAACAUGCUUAUCGUUGCUAUCUGCAUAGAUUUGGAGAUCUUCAGCGUAAUAAAAAUAAGUUGGAAGUAUUAGAAAGCAAGAAACUCUUAUAAUAUUGGUUUAGCAGAACAGAAGAGCUUUUGGAAACACCUAUGCAUUUAUUAGAAUUUAUAAUACGAUAGAAACGGCAUCAGGAGAUGAGAAGAUUAUGGGACUAUUUUAAAAAUGAUUUGGAGGUAAUUUCUUCUCCAGGGAAAAAGAAAAGUAGAUGCUGAACUUACACACAAAGGUAAGAACCAAGGGGAUUAAAAAGAGGAAUAUGAAAAUGCUAUAUACUAAAAUGGUUACGACCUUGGGAGUUGGGGAACAUUCCUUAAACAGCAAAUUGAAAAAUACGUAGCAGUUCUACUCUUGAGUUUGUGUGCUCAGAAAAUACGUACCAGGCUUUUUACUAUGGCAUGAUCUGUAGUAGUCAUAAAUUGGAAACAACUUAAAUGCCCAUCAGGAACAAAAUGGGAAAUACUUAAGAUGGAAUACUGUAUAUCUGUAAAAAUGUAAUAAACGAGAUCUAUGUGUAUUACAGAGAAAGAUCUCAAAUAUCACAUUAAGGGGAAAGAAAGUUGCAGAAUGACAUAUAAUACGAUGACAUUUUUGUAAAUUUGAAGUAAAAGUUCUCACAAAAUUCAGUGCUAUAUAUUGGUAAUGAAUACCUUCUGUAUGUAUGUUUUUUAAUUGUUUUUGAAAUGAUUGGAAGGAUACAGACCAAACUCUUGAUAGUGGUUGCCUGUAAAGAGUGAAGAAGGGAAGGGGAUGCGUGUGGGGGAGGGGAGGGGUUGGCUUGAGGGGGCUUCAGUUUUAUGUAUAAACAUCCAUUUCUCUUUAAAGAAAAAAAAAGGACUGUAAGUAAAUAUAUCGAAAUACUGGUUAAUUCUGGACUGUGGUAUAUGGAUAUCUUGUCUUAUUUUUUGUACUUUUCUGUAUUUUUAAAUUUUCUCAAAAUUAAUAAGAAUGGGGGUGAGGAUGGGAACACUGUACCAAUGGAAACCACGUUCUGAUGGAUUCAUUCCCAAUCAGCUACUAAACUUUUUAUAGAAGAUAUUUCUAAAAUUUUAUCGAGUGGAUGGACUUGCUCUCUAUGUAGUAUGAAUAUCUAUUUUAUUAAAAUUAAAAAUGACAGCAUAA